GAUCCUCUGCCCACGACAGAGGCUCAACCCCGCUAACAGGACUCAGCAAUUUAAUCGCUGGAUCCCGCAGAACCACUGGACCCUGUACCGCCCAAAAAUCAUUAUCCGGUCCCGACUGGGCUUCAGACGCGUUCCCUGAUUUUUCCGAGUUGCAGACCUCUCCUCAGCUGAGCCAUUUGCACAUAUCCUGCCCGAACUCUUAUGGGAAACUGUGACGGAUGGUUCAUCAUACUUGUUUUAAUUAUUCAGCUGUGCAGACAGCACCCUGGGGAGACGUGCUGCAGCGCAUUACAAAAAACACACAUUCAGUGAUAUAAUCAUAAUGAUGAUAAUGAAAUGUAUUUAGAGCACAUCAGUGCCUCCCUCUCUCUCUUUGCCUCUGCCUCUCGCAGCUCUGGUGUGAGGAUGUGAGUGCUGUCUGAUGCAGAAGAGGCAAGUUUGCUGCGCUCUGGCCCCCGGUGGCUCCUUGUGGAGGCCUGUGGUGCCCCGCACGAUGGCUCACCGGAGAUUAGCCGUCAGAGCGGAGGGCUUUGCAUACCUCAUGUGCCGUCAACUGCGAAGGCUUACCUGACAGGUGUUGCUCUCGUUCAGAUCUGUUGUGUCCUCCUGAGCUGAAGCUUCGGUGGGGCGCCUGUAGGUAGGAGAAACCUUCCUUCCUACUGUCACUCAUCACGGGCCACGCAGCCAGACCAAAGCCAAAUCUCUCCUCAAUGAGAGCCCAAUGAUGUCUGAUCAGUGUGGCACAAAAACACUCCGGGCGCUGCUUGAAUAGUCCUUGCUUAAAUAUGUCAUUGAGCAUUGCAAACUUUUUGUGGAAAAAAUAUUUGGGAGUGCUGCGCAUGGUUGCUUAUCAUUUCAAAUCUAAGUAUUGUGCAACUGUAAAUGUUUUUUCAAAUGUGAUAUUUGGGUUUAUUGGGAGUCUCCGAGAGAUGUAUUCAAACUCUCCUGGCUUCCCAUACUUCCAACAAUGCUGUUCACUCCUUAGUGCAUCUACAGUAUGAGUUGACCUGUUUGUUAUGUUUGUAUACACUCUCACUGGAGAAUUUGUGAAAUAAAAAACAUCUAAGUAGUUUUGUAUCCUGUCCUGUAUUAAAGUUUGCUGUCAGGUUAAUCUACCCUUAGUUCUCCCCAGAAUUGCGGCAUAAAAACAGAAACCGGGACUUAAGGGUGCUAAAAACAGCAGAAGAGACAAAUGAAUGAUCACAUGUAUGCGCAGUGAUAAUAGAUUAAUAAUUCAUAGUGCUUUAUGAUUAAUUAAAACAGGCCUCGGGUCCUGUGGCAGGUACAGGCUGAAACACAGUCUGACAUUCCCAUGCGAUCCUCUGAACAUCUGAACAUCUGAACUCUCUCCUUUCUUCUGUCCCCAGUCCAGGUGGAAGACCUGUUCAAAUAUCUCCAGUGGCAUCCAAUUCAUGCUUUGGGGACCAUAAGUGCUUGUUUUUUUCUUUCCUAGGCUUGCUGGUGUGGGGAAGUGCUGUAUAUAGUACAAUCAAGAGCCUAUUUAUAGAGAACAGGACACAUUGACUUAUGAACAAAUUGUGUAAUUUAUUGACCUCACCUUCGCUCUUUUGUAUAGUAGCAUUCCUGGCUGCUAUGCACAAAUAAUGUUAUUUACGGCUGCUGCUCUAUAAUGCAAUUUUUACUGUUUUAUAUUGUAUAUUGUUUUACUUCAAUGUGAAACACUGUUUUAGCAGUUUUUGAACUUUGUAAAUCAGCACUUCUCUCAUCGUUUUUUCAGGAUGAAUCGCUUAUGCUUAUAAGUUGCUUUAGAUGAAAGUGUGAGCAAAGGAAUAAAUGUCUGUAACCUCUAAA